rnacentral:rRNA from 1 species
GACGAACGCUGGCGGCGUGCUUAACACAUGCAAGUCGAACGGUGAAGCUCCAGCUUGCUGGAGUGGAUCAGUGGCGAACGGGUGAGUAACACGUGAGCAACCUGCCCCAGACUCUGGAAUAAGCGCUGGAAACGGCGUCUAAUACUGGAUACGAGAUCAAGCCGCAUGGUUACGGUCUGGAAAGUUUUUCGGUUUGGGAUGGGCUCGCGGCCUAUCAGCUUGUUGGUGAGGUAAUGGCUCACCAAGGCGACGACGGGUAGCCGGCCUGAGAGGGCGACCGGCCACACUGGGACUGAGACACGGCCCAGACUCCUACGGGAGGCAGCAGUGGGGAAUAUUGCACAAUGGGCGAAAGCCUGAUGCAGCGACGCCGCGUGAGGGAUGACGGCCUUCGGGUUGUAAACCUCUUUCAGCAGGGAAGAGGCGAAAGUGACGGUACCUGCAGAAGAAGCACCGGCUAACUACGUG